rnacentral:sRNA from 1 species
CCACUUCGAUUUGUUGGGGACAAAUAAAAUGAAUAUGGGCGUCAAUUCCUCCAGCAGUCAGAAUCAUGCCUUCACCAGCGACGGCUUCUGUCCCAGGGCCGAUAAUAAUAUCUAUAUUGUCUUGAAUGUAGGGAUUGCCAGCUUUACCAAUUUUGAAUAUUUUGCCAUCUUUAAUGCCAAUGUCUGCUUUGACAAUACCCCACCAAUCGAGAAUCAAAGCGUUGGUAAUCACCAUGUCUACAGCACCAUCAGCGUUGGAGAUGGGUGAUUGUCCCAUUCCAUCACGAAUGA